CCGUGUGCUUUAACCUUUAUAACAUUUUUAUUUUUAAAAUAUUUUUGAAUUUUUUAAUACUUUUUCUCAAUAUAAAAAUAUAAUAAUAUUUAAGUGAAUAGGUACAUAAAAGUCUAAAAUACAUAACAUGGGGGUAGAACUAGUAACUAUUGGGUGCACAAAAGAGAGCUAGGCAAACAUAUAAACAUAUAAUAAAAACAGGGGUGCACCAAGUAAUUAAAGCAAAUAAAAAAGUUUGCAGAAAUGGAAAAGGGCUUAAGCCCAAAACACACAAAAAGAAUAUGGAGGUGUUAAGAUGAGAAAUUGGGGUGCGGAUGAGAAUAGGGUUUAAUAUUUUUUCCUUUUAAAAGAACCUGGAUCAGAAGCUUAGCCCCAUGCCUUUUUUCUUGUUUGCGAAAAUGGAGGGGGGAUGCGAAGACGAGAAACAGGGGUGGAAAAGGGGCAAAGUUUUUUAAUUAUUGUUUUUUAAAAAAGGAAAAGGAACUGGGCCAUGGGCCCAAGAGUCCUUCACCAGAAACAUUAGGGGUUUGUCCAGAUCUCCCCCAUUCCUCCAUUUCACUCAAAUGAGACCUAGGGUCUCCUUCUCUGGGCAAGAAAACCCGGAGGCGCUCACCUCCACUGUUAGAUCUCAAUCCGAACGGCCACCGAGAGCCACCGUCCGCGGCGUCACCAGUGCCUUCGCCGGAAGGUCCACCGCCCUUCACGCCGGAGCACCAUCUCGUCCUCUCUUCUUCGCGCGAAACCGGCCCCGACUCCGAUAUCUCAUCGCUCCCGCCGCCGUCGACGAAACCAACGUCCAGAAGCCGUGAGCCAAGGCCGCCCCGGUGACGCUGCUCGUCGCCGGCCGCCAGGUUUUUUCCUUUUCUUCUUCGCGUGUGAGGGAGGAACGCCGGCCACCGCUUGAGCGAAUCCAGCCGCCGCGGGCUACAAGCCGGAACGCCGCCGGUCACCGCGUCAAGGACGAAAGCGUUUUUCCUUCUCUUCUUCUCAUUCUUUUUUAAACGCCACUUGCUGAUUGGUUCCUCUGUUGAUUGGUGUUUGUUCUGCUGGGAUUGGAAACGGUGAGGGUGUGUUGAUUGGUUCCUCUGUUGAUUGGUGUAAGAGCCUACUUUGUGCUGGGUAUUCUGUCUUUGCAGGUAAGGGGACUUGGAGUUUGGUGAUUUGAGGUGAAUAGAGGCAAGGGGACCUAGUUUCGUUAUCUGAUUUGGUUGUCACUGUCGUGAUUGAUUCUUUCUUAUUGCAGGAAAACGGCAUUGGGGAUUUCAGUAGAAUAAGUCAAUGUUGAAGAUGAUAAUAGGAUUGUGUGUGGGAGACAUUAGUUUGUUUGUGGUGAGGCUUAGGAUGGGUGGAAAACAGUAUGCGAAGCCAUAUCAUCAUCAAAUCAAGUGGCAACAAAUAGGAGCAUAUAUCACGCAACAUGAACAGUAUGCGAAGCCAGAUCAUCAUCAAAUAGAAACGUAUAGAAGCAUAUAUCACCCAGCAGAAACAUAGAAUAACUAUUUACCAUCCAAGAAUGCAGACAUUUAUAGCAACGAAGCUCCAAGAAGAGGAACUUACCUCUCGCGUUUAUGCUUUCUCUAUUUUACAAGUGAAGAAUUGUUGCCAGAUAAUGGUCGAUGUUGGAGGUGAUGAUAACAGAAAACGCGGUAGAGGUUGGGAUGUGGGGAUGGUUUUUUUUUUCUGACGAGGAAGUUGCUGAGAAGUUCUGUUGAGUGAAUGGAGUUGAGAGUAGUGUCUGUGUGUGAGUGAUGGAUGGAUUUUUGAAUCACCGGUUGAUUUUUCUUUUCAGUCUUUUGAACCUUGCGUGAGAACUCAGAGGGCAGCACAGCCUCCUGACACUCCAAUGCCUCAUGCAACCCUAUUGCCAGCAUUUCUUCUUACCGCAACUGGCUAAAGCUGUCUAUUGCUUCUUCUGCAGCAUAGGUCUGAGCCAAAGAUUUUCACGAAAAAAUGAUAGAUGUCUGAUUGGCAAAGAUUUAAGACCAAAAGAAAGAAAAAUGUUGAUAGCAUUGGAAAUAGAAAUGAACGUUAAGUGCUCUGAUCACAUUUUUGUUUUUUUUUUUCAUUUUCUCGUUUUUUUCUUUUCUUCAUUUUUUUUUUCUUUUCCUUUCUUUUUUCUUUUUUCGUUUUCCUCUUUUCUUUUAUCUUUUUUUCCUUUUUUAGUAUUCCUAAUUGUUUUUCUUUUCUUUUUUCCUUUU
rnacentral:lncRNA from 1 species